UUUUUUUUUUUUUGUAAUAGAAGAGGAAUGAGAUUUAAGAAGCGAGGAGGAAGAAUAAGUAUUCAAAUUCAUGACCUCUAAGUUUUGAUAUUUCAACUUUAAGCACUAUAGCAAGACCUCUUCGACAGGUAAAAUCAGUUACGUAUACAUAUAUAGCUGUAUUUCGUGUUAAUUAUUUGAAAUUAUUCUCCUCCUAUUAAUACAUAUCUAUAAUUUUGGUCUAAGUGUUUGAUAAUUCAAACGUUUUACCUUGUAAACUGGGUUCAAUAAGUACCCCCAUAAAGUAAUUAACCGCGUGAAAGGUGAAACAUGAUGAUGUUUAAAGUUAAACUGUUAGCGGUGGUUUUACCUAAAUUUUUUUUUUUUUGGCAUCUAGGCAAAAGGGAUAAGAACGCACUAACUGUAAAUUAGGUGGCUAGUCAUAUUACAGUAAAAUGCACGAUAAUUGUGCGGUAAUUUAAAUUUUAUCUGUUGAGAAGCACGCUAUAAACUCAAAUUUCAUCUUUUUAACGUUUAAUGCAAGACUUAGACAAAUAUUCAUGGUUCAUGGCAGUCCUAAUUUAGACUUGCAACUUUUCACUUAUAUAAAAUCAAAAUGGACCCCUUUAUUAAUUUUCACUUGGGAACUGAUUUACUUACUUUAACUACAGGGAAUUGAUAUAGGUGGAAGAUCCCAUACAGCAAUUGUUUAAUCGUUUAUGGGAUUAUCGAAUCGAAAACAAAGUAUACUGCCACUCUUUGUCCCAGACUGCUGCAGCACUGAGCUAGUAUUUCCACCAAAAAUGGAUAAAUUACUUAUUACCUCCUAUAGUUUUAUAUAAUAUCAGAUGGCUUCUUAAAAUUUUAACAUAACCCUCCUAUCGUUUAUUAUAUAAAGUGAAAAAUGGACGGAAUAGACAAUCGAUUACAAUGUUUAUACCAAACGUGCUCUAAAAGUGUGUGUGAUAAAAUUUUAACAUCCAUGCGACCUCUUUAUGAUUUGUAUAAAUAUCCAUUUUAUCUCUCUGUGAUUUUUGCAUGAAUAAAUUCAUGUAAUCUCCUUAUGUUUUUAUACAAGGUGGUUAAACCGUCAAUUGAUUUAGCAUUUAAAUAAGGAUACUAUUAGUAUUUCAACUAACGGUGGAGUACAUAGGAUAUUUUUCAUCAAAUUUUCACUUUUCAUAAAAUUAUAGGGGGUGAAGUGGAUAUUUUGAAAUGUUAGAAAGAUCAUGUAAUAAUAGAUAAAACCACCACGGGGGAUUAUAUGUAAUUUACCCCUACAAAAUAAUGCUCCAACUAGUUAACCAAGUGACACAUUUUUCUUAUGUUGCGAUAAAAGUGUGAGACAAAGAGAUAAACACUAGGAGCAUCAUCUUUUGCAGUUCUCUAGAAAAGUCCACGUAAUUAAACUAUUGGCAGUUGUCAUUUGUUAAUUAACAGAAGUUGAUGUUUUACAUCUAUAAUUAAUUAUAUACGUAAUCAAACGAGUGAACCGGAAAAAUCUAAGUCGUAUUCCUUUUUCAGCACUACAUAUUUUUUUGGCUAAUUUUGUCAAACAUGAAUUACAAAAAAAAGGGUAAACAUAGAGCAUUAGAAGCAUCCGUUUGUUUAAAAGAAGUUACGAGUUAUAAUAUACACGAAUAGCUCAAUAACCAAAUGAUCCAUAUGGUAAUGUUAAUAAUUCCUUUAUCUCUUAAUCUCGAUUAGGAUAGCUUUUGAUUUUUUUUUCAUUUUUUUUUUAAAAAAAAUAUAAAUGACUGAGUCAUGAUUUAAGUAAUCACUAAAUUCGCAUCCUUCCAUCCUAAAAUGAAAAUCGCUUCAUAUAUAUAAGAUUGAAUAAUAAUGGUACAAAAUAAUAAAGGGUAUGCAUCAAAAGUGCAAAUUUGACGUGAAAGGUAUGAAUUCAGCCAAUUCCAAGUACUUAUAUUGAUAAAAAUCUAUGUCACUUUCCCUUAACCCUUUAAGGGUUUUCUCGUGCUUUGAAAAGUUCAUAUACUUCGUGAACCUUUUGAAUCAAGAGCAGAAACACAAUUUGGUUUUUAAUUAAUCUUGAUGUCAUCAAGAUUAAGAAAUAAAAAAAAAUUAAAAUGGCGCGUGAACUCCCAGCGCAUUUUGGUCAAAUUAUAAACCGUGACACGCAACUUUUCAUCUGAGUCCCUUUGUUGAAUUUCUUAGUUUUUGACAAUAAAAAUGGCCACUGCAUAAAAUGCUAAUUUUGACGGACCCUUCAACGGGGUAGAAUAUAACGUUUACCAGGAACAGCACGGUCAAAACGAAUCAUCAAAUCCAUAAUAAUUUCAGCCACAAAAAUUUAAAAUAGUGUACCAAAAAAUCUGUUAAAAUUGAAAGGACUUUGCAUAUUCAGUCUUGAUCAGAAGUUGAAAAUCUGUUAUUCAAUUUAUAGGGAGUUUAGUCACGGGGCUUAUUUUGUCAAGAUCUUGUGCUGAAGUUCAUGAGGGUUGAUCAGCCAAUUCGUCCAAUUUUUGGACCAAAAUUCUUAGUCCAUUUAUGUACUUUUGUACCUCUGUUUUUCUCAAUCAUUCAUUCAGUAGUUAGUUUGAGAAUAUUUUAUUCCUAGUCAAAAUUCUUCUUCGCCGGUUCAUCUAAUUCUUCAACCUACAUCACUAGAUAUCUUUAAUUCUUUUGACUGUUCAUACUUUUUCUUUGGCUGAUUACUAGUCAAUAUAUUUGAAUCUUGGGAUAGCAUCCAGUUCAUGCGAUUCUUAUUGAAUGGAAGUUUUCGUUUUUUUUUUUUUAUAAAAUAGAAGGAAGAAGGAAAUGGGAAAGGAGAACCGGAAAAUUCAAAUGAAACAGAAGGUCUUAGCAGUCGUUUGUAAUCAUUAAUUUACUUUUACAGAAAAGGAACUUAGAAAAUUGUAGACUUGUAGAAAUGUUCUAGAUUCAAUUUGAAUUGUUAUUGUAGACUUGUAAAACCAUUCUAGAUUCAAGUAAAAUUUUCUCGAUUCUCAAGCGAUGGAUAGGAUACUACGAGUUUUGCCUUUGCAAUUUGGAAGCAUAUUAAUACCAAAAAAAAAAAAAAUCUUAUAUACACUAACAGUGUAUACACUAUCAUGGUCAAAUACACGACACAUAUGCAAAAUUUGAGUUUCAAAUUCAAACUUGGAUUAUAUGCCACGCAUCCAAUGUUGAAAGAGUAUACACUGUCAGUGCAUAGAUGAUUAAUCUAAAAAAAAAAAAAAGCAAGUCACUUUGUAUUAUCAAUAUACGCAAUGAAUAAAGUAGAAUGUAAAUCUUAAUUUAAGAACAUAUUUAAACUCAGCUGGAUCAUACUCAUUAAAAAAUCUUGAGCCACUUUAAUGCAUCAAUUUUGUCGAAAACAACGGGAAAGUCGGCAAAUUUUCGAUAAGUGCAACCUUUAUUAAACGUAAAAAUACAAAGUUUCUAAUCCUCCUUUCAAAGAAGUAGUUAAAAUAUAUGAUAUAAUCCACAAGAACCGGUAAACGUUGAAUGAUGGAGGUAGGGACGGGACGGCGGUGCAAGGCGGCUUAUUUGCAGAACCCGGUAACCUCCCUGCCUUGCCCGGCCCCUAAUUAUUUAUUCCUCCAUCAUUUCUCUUUCCAAACAGACACGAAAAUGGUUAAAACUCCCUCUUUUUCCUCCUUAUACACUACCCAAGAUAAUGGUGAAAAAAAAAGAAUAACAUGUAGUGUAGUGUGGAUUUAUAUAGGCCCCUCGGGCACAGAUCCACUGGCUAUGGAUAACCUUAUUAGGCUUCAGGUCGUGUGGUCGAUUCUGCCUCUCCUACCGUCUCGUGUAUCCUUGAGGGCAGGGUGCACGGGUACAAGAAGAUUAGUCUGGCAAAAGUUGGGACAUUCCCUAUGUUGCCAAAAAAAAAAGAAAAAGUGUGGAUUUAUAUAGGAUGGCUUCCUAAUGUAUCUCCCAAUUCCAAUAUAAGAAGACGAGUUAUUUAAUUUCCUUUUUUGAUGAAACACCAUGCAUGAGAACAGAUAAUAGAUAAUUAAUCCUAACACUAGAAGAUGGCCCUUUUGGAUGAUAAAUAUCUUGGCUACUGACAUAUUCAGCACAAAUCAACCUUGGUGUCAUGGAGCCGGAGAUGGAAGCUGCAGCCUUUCAAUUUGACGUAAUGAUAUUUCACUUUGAUACAAGAAACCUAAGUUGUUUUGCUAAAAUUAGAUAAACAAAAAAGUGGCUUUAUUAUAUCUGUUAUCUAACUAUAAUUCGUUCUGACCGAUCACCUCACGAAUUGGCAAAUAAAUUAAGAGAAAUGUUAUUCGCACUCCAUUUUUUCUUAUUUGCAUUGUCACAAUUUGUUUUAUUAUAUGAUGUAAUAAAUGAAAACUGUAUAAUUAAAAUAAUAGUGGGAUUGUGAUUAACAAAAAUGAGAGUACAAAUAACAUUUCUCUGAAUUUAAAUGUGAACUAAUAUUAGCUUUUGUUGCCUUGAAGACCAUUGCUCAAACCAUUUUUCGUGCUGCUAUUAUAUUUCAAAUACAAAGGCUACAAGUCUACAUGACCUUACGCAUGGAUUUGACUUUAGGUGAUAAUGAAGAGGAAGCACGAGCGAGCAAGCAAAGAAAUGGAGAUAAGGUAUUCCGUGAUUAGUUUACCAGCUAAUAUCCAAUGUAACAGUUGAGCAAAUCCUGAUCUGAACCAAGACUUUUCUGCUUCUGACUUCCCUAAUUAAAUACUGCCCGGAAUCUCUCACUCGCAGUUUGCCCCAUCCUUAGAACUUUUUCUCAAGUUACAAGCACAUAGCAUCAUUUGACUCUGCUAAAUUUUAUUGAUUGUUUAAGGAAAGUCAAAUUUAUUAUUAGCUCUUAAAGGCAUUCUUUUUUUUUUUUAUGAGUACAAAAAAUUAUUACUUUCGUACUGUAUAAUUUAGGUUGUUAAUAACUCAUAAAAUAUGGAAAGAACAAAUUAUGAAUUGCUUUACAUGUUCUGAUGUUUUGUUGCAAAUUAAAGUAAAUAAGAGCGCAAUCUUUUUCUAUGAUAAAAUUACAUGCAUGAGUUAUAGCAAAGGUAACUGUAAUUUUCAGCUUUCCUGGAUCAUAAAUUGCAAAUUGCAUGAAUCCUAACAUCUCAAUGCUGCAAUCCCCCAUUAUUAUUUCGAAACGACAAGAUCAACAUGUGAUUUAGUUGACAUUGACGGGUCUAUUGAUGUUCUCAACACCAGCUUCGAUAUGUUGGGCACUUCAAUCCUCAGCACUUUCAUCCGCCGAAGACAGGAGGGGCCAGUGGCCAUCGGCUGCUGAUAAAAUCAUGUCUGAUGAGGACAAAAGUCUGUGCUUAUCAUCAGAUAAAAAGGGUUCAGGAAUUACCUAAAAACCAAAAAGUGGAGUCAUUUUGUUUCUCUAAUUGUCUAGCCACAGAACCAUCUAAUCUUAUUCGUGUUGGCUGACAGUCAUAUCUAUGAUCCGUAGACUUGGUAUUCAUGAAAUGUCUUAUAUCCAAUCAAAUUCCUCACAAAUGGAACUCUUACGCAUGCAACGUCCUUGCGCAUUAAAAAAGGACCCAGAAAUGCCAAUAGAGAAUUGUAUCUCCAUCUUCUAAGGCACGAUACACUGUUUAUUUUCACCCCGUAAUAGAAAAUCGAAAAAGAGAAAGCAGAAAAGUGUCAAGAAAGAAAAAAAAUACUACAACUUAGAUAUGUUUUCAUGUGUCAUAAUGUGCUUCCAAAAUCAUGUUUUAGCAUUUGAAAAGCACAUUUCUAGAUAGUAGAUAGUAUUUGCCCACAGGAAUUAGAACAAGGGGCUGCCUAGGUAUAUUACAAAGCAACAAAGUUGAUACGAAAAGUACUAAGAACACGUAUAUAUUUCGUUUUGAUAAAGUUAAACCAUGUUAGUAUAUAGUAUUUGUCCUUGAACUAAGCAACAAAAGUCUAUGUCCGUGGCAACAAGAAAAGUUAAAGAAGAAAGAGAGCAUAUGGUUAUGGGAAAAUGGGCAAUGGCAAGGGCAUAGGGAAUUGAGAAUUUGCUAUUCUUUUCUUUUCUUUUUCAAGAAUGGGGAAAGGACUAAAGAGGCUUUGGUGCAUAAUUUAUUUGUUAACAAACCGGCUGCCGAUAGUUGAAAAACUAGUUUAGCUGACCCAUGAAACAAGGGGUGUCCAUCCAUGAGUGUAUGUUUAGUCAAUCUCCAGGUGGAAUUCAAUAAAAAAAUCAAAAACUUUGAAUCUUAAACUAUGAGUGGAAAUGAAAAAAUUGAAAAAGCUGUUUCUGAUAUCUUCACACCUUGCUCCUCUUGGGUGCAUGCAAACUUGAACAGUGAUAAAUUUAUUAGCUGAUGUGAAACUCAACUAAUUAACAGGGUUCUCGUUUUCAUGUAAAAAUGAUGAUCAGUUUGGGCCAAAUUUGGUUUUUGAUUUUACCCAACGUGGAAAAGAGUUGAAAUUUUUUUCUUUUUAUAAAGAAAAAAAACAAAUUUUCUCUGCAAUUUCAAUCUCCAUCAGCAAGGAAUUAUCAUUCUUUUCUAGUGUACAAAGAAGCAUAAGGGCCUUUGAAAAGAUUACCAAUGGAAAUGACAGUGUGCACAUUUUUACACUCUAUUCUUGGCUUUUACUCUUUAACACGGCCCAUUAUUAUGGUAUAUCCUCUUCAACUCUUGAAUCUAGUAUCAUAUGCUACUAAACUCUUGUGACAUCUGCAACCUCCAUUAUUUAAAAAACUAAUUGUGCAUCUGUUUUCUAGUGUACAAGAAAGUAUAAUGUCCUUUCAAAAGAUACCAAAUCUAAAUGGUGAUAUGCAUAUGCUCAAUGACGGAGCCAGGAUUUUUUGCUUGGGGGGGCCAAAAUUUUUUUGAACAAAAUUAUUUUAAUAUGUUAUGUUUAAAAUAAUUUUCAUUUAUUUAAAUAUAUGACAUUUUAAAAUAUCAAAUAUUAAAUUUAAUUAUAAAGGUAUGUCUAUUUCAUAAAUAUGUAGCAUAGUCAUAACUAAAAUUAAGACAAGAAAUAACCUUUGAUUAAAUAUCUUAUAACAUCACAAACCACCUAAAUUGCACAUUAUGAGAAGAUACUCCAAUAUGUCACUUGUGCAAAAACAAAAAUAUAACUAUGCAAUAUAAAUAUAACUAUUUUCAAUUAAAAAGAGAUAAAAAUUAUGUUAACAUGCCUUGAAAUUUCAUCCUCUUUUAUUAAACGUAAAUUGAGCUUUACGUUCUUUCAUAGAACUAAAUUCAUCUAUAAUUGAAUCAAAGCUAAAUUUUCGAACAACUUCCUCUUUUUAUGUACAUUGUUAGGCAAUCAUUCAAGAAAUUAUCAUUUAUCUUGUUUUGGAGUUUUGUUUUGAUUAUCUUCAUAAUUGAAAAUAUCCAUUCUAUAGACUAUAGAACGAAGCCAGGAUUUUUUCCUUGGGAGGGGGGCCAAAAUUUUUUUUAACAAAAUUAUCUUAAUAUGUUAUAUUCAAAAUAAUUUCCAUCGAUUUAAAUAUAUGACAUCUUAAAAUAUCAAAUAUUAAAUUUAAUUAUAAAGGUAUGUCUAUUUUGUAAAUAUGCAGCAUAGUCAUAACAAAAAUUAGGACAAGAAAUAGCCUUUGAUUAAAUAUCUUAUAAUAUCACAAAUUAUCCAAAUUGUACAGUAUGAGAAGAUGAUCUAGCUAAUACGUCACUUGUGCAAAAACAAAAAUAUAACUAUGCAAUAUAAAUAUAACUAUAUUCAAUUAAAAAAAAGAUAAAAGUUAUGUUAGCAUACCUUGAAAUUUCAACCUCUUUUCUUAAAAGUAAACUAAGCUUUACAUUAUUUCAUAGAACUAAAUUCAUUUAUAAUUGAAUCAGUGUUAAAUUUUUGAACAACUUCCCUUUUUUAUGUAUAUUGUUAGAUAAUCAUUCAAGAAAUUAUCUUUUAUCUUGUUUUGGAGCUUUGGUUUGAUUAUACUUAUAAUUGAAAAUGUCCGUUCUAUAGUUGUAGCUGAUACAUGAAGAGUGAAAACAAAUAUAAUCAAUCUGUCAACAAUAGGAUAGAUCACUCAAUUUCUUGUCUUCACUAAGCCUUCAAGCAAUUAUUUGUAUAUGUGUCAACAAGAGGAUAAAUCACUAAUUUUAAUUUUUGUUUUAUCAAUUAGGGUAAGUUGUAUAUUUGUAUAUGGACCAAUAAAGUAAUUAUUUUUAUUUUAGCCAUUCAUAAUUAUGAAUUGAGUCUUUUAUUAUAAUAUAUCAAAUUGGGUCAAUUUACUAUGGAUCAUCAAAUUAUAUGUUUAAUUUUUUGAAUGUUAUAUAAUUAGCACAAUAAAAAAUAAAUAACUUUUUUGAAGAAAAAAAUUAAAUCAAAGGUGGCUAAUUCACACACACACACACACACACAUAUAUAUAUAUAAAAACUCUCAUAAUAUAAAUUAAAAUUGUAAAAAUUUAGGGGGGGUCAACUUUGUCUUAUACAUAUAUUUACAUACUAUGAAUUAAAAAUUUCAAAACUUAGGGGGGGCCAUGGCCCCCUCAGCCCCCCCUUGGCUCCGUCAUUGCAUAUGCUCACAAUCUAUUCUUGGCUUUACUUUUGAACAUGGUCCUACAUAUGUGGAAUAUUUUCUACUGAAUUCUUUACAUAUGUAUAUCUAUGCUGCUGAAUUCGUGCGACAUUUGCAAUCUUGAAUAUAUGCUAAUGCCGGAAUAGGAUUGAAGGACAUCUAUACUUGGGUAGAGGUAAGGUGUCAAAUGGUAUCCAAGCCAGAUUUUAUUGGUCAUCAAAAAGUAAAAAAAAAAACCAAAUGGUAAGCAUAUACUGGGAGUCAUCUUUGGUAUAAGGUGUAGUGACUAUAUAGCUAGGUAUCAUUAAGUAAUUUAUUCAAUUAAAAUAAACUAAGUUGAUCUAUUCUCCUAAAAAUAAAAACGAAGUUUGAUGUUGUAUUAACUCAUUUUGUGUAUUACAUAGCUAUUUUGUAAACCCUGUAAUUGGUGCAGCAAAACAUUCAAGCCUCAUGUCCAGCUGAAUUUCGAUUAUUUGAUUGGGAUAAUUAGAUUAUGAUGAUAAAUUCUUGGAUUCAAUUCUAUGCAAUAUGUCCUGCGUACAAUUUUGUGACUCACAGAGAAGUGAAAACCCCAUAGUCCAUAGCAACCACAAAUAUGCUUAUAAUUCAAGAGCAUCGUAUAGAUGCUUAUAAUAAGUACUUUUCUUCGGAGGGUUCUUCAAUAACCUAUGUAGUUCUUUCACAUCAAUAGCUUGCAACAAGUGAUAGACUCCACUAUUACCCCAUCUAGAAAAAGUUGAAAAUUAAAAUUAAGUGGUGAAAUAAUUAGCUAUUCUAAUUUCUUCCACAGAGUACAUAUGUUGCAUCAAAUUUUUUUUUUUUCAGAAACAAAAGAAAAAUGUCCACAAAUUCGACAGAAAUUCAUCUUAAAUGUAGGCAAGAAAUUGAGGUUUCUUUCGCUUAAGUUGAAUUUUCUUGGAUAAGUGUUCAAGUUUAGUGUCUCUUUAUAUACGUCCUUAUGGCUAUCCUAAAUUAGUUAGUGAAAUUUAAUGGAAUCUAUGUGAAUUUGCACGAGGAGCCCGCUGAAAGUGAAAGGGCUAAUGAACCUUUAUUUUCUUUGGAUGAAACCAAGUCAAAUGGACUAGAGUUUUGAUGCUUUUUGCAAGCAUCAAUUAUUGUGACAAAGGCACAAUAUUCUUUUGAGGUGUAAAUAAAUUUUUGAUGGAUUAAUGCACCCAUUCUUUUUCUUCCUUUUGAGUUGGUUGUCAGUUCAGACUUGGUAUUUUUUGACCUCACAACAGAUUGAAAGAGUCCAAAAGUAUCUUGUAGUCAUUAAUUUGAUGCAUAUGAAGAAAUUGUGUGAUGGAUAUGCUUUCGCCUAAUUAAUUUGCAUGAAAUUAGAUUUUUGAACUAGUCAACAGAAAAUAAAUCACUGUUAUGUCUGGUGAAUAUAAAACAGCGAUUUUAAUUAUACGAAAAAACUGGAUCACAAAUUCAUGAUUUGGGCACUAAUUCUUUCUUUCUUUUUUUUUUAGGGAAGAAAAGCAAACAGGAAAAGGUAUACCACCAAACAGAAAUAUCAUGCUCAUUCUUGGGUGAAAAAAAAGAAUUACAAUGACCUUGGACUUGGUGCAAGUGUGUGUAGAAGCCUAUUUCUUGUGCUGAUUGUUACUAUUCCAUGUACUUCUGCUGAAAAUUUGCCGACCAUUUUCUUGUGCAUUGGAGAACUAGGAAGAAUUGAAAAGUUUGACGAACAAUUAAUUAAUUUGCCAUACACAGUGCUUUAGACUUCAGCUAAAAGGUGAAUACCAAUGUUUGUGGUUGAAAUGCAUGAAUACUCAAUAGCUAUCUUUUCAAGAAUUCAAGUACGUUGGUCCUUAUGUUUUUUUUUUUUCUUUGCGAGGAACAAAUGCUUCACAAUCGGUCCCUUAAUUACGCGAUCUUGGAACAAGAAUUUUGGUGUAAUACAUCGUUUUCUUAGACAAGUUGGAUGAUAACAAACUCAGUCAUUGCCAACUCUUGAUUAAGUCAUAAGCCGAAAGUAUUGCUAAAAACAUACUUGGUAAUUGCUUGGAAUGAUAGCGAACCAUGGAAGAACCUGCCCUCUUACUCCUAUGGGGAUGACAACAGAUCCACCAAAUCGCCAAUCAUUUAUUCAACCUUCAAACAUUAGUUUGAAUUUCUAUUCUUUACUGAAUAUUGAGCCAGCAUAUUGCUGACUAGUAUUUUUUUUGUUACUUAAAUCAAUUUUCUAUGGUUACAUUUUUUUAGGUAUGUAAUUCGUGAGUAUCAAAUAAGUCAUCACUAAAAUCUAUUUUCAUCAACCACGAUAUAGUUUGAAUAACUCGUAGCCAGAUAUUGUUGUUUAUACCAAACGGUUCAAACCCGUUUGGUUAGCAUGAUUUGUUAAAAAACAAUUUUUAAUAUUAUGUAACUCAAUUUUCAAUUGCUUUUUUAUCUCAUGCAUAUCAUAUCACAAAAAGUGCUAUAAUAUUAUUUUAAAUAUUUUUUUUGCAAAUAAAUCUCCUGUCCAAAGAAAUUAAUAAACCGACCAUACCAUCAAUCUUAUCUUGGUCAGUACAUUGUCGUAUUAAUAAAACAACUGGUCCGCAUACAUGUUUUAUCAACUCCCCUACAUGAUAUUUGAGUGGAAAAAAAGCAGCUAGGGUAAAUAUUUAAAUCAAAUGUCGAAUCAACUACUACAAUUUUGUCCUUUUAUUUGAUCUUUUCUUAUGCCACCAAUUCAAAUAAAAUAAUAACAGCUUUGACUUUUCUAGAACUGAUUAAUCAACUAACCGACCCUCUGUUUUCUGGUACGAAUUAGCCUAUAACUUAAGUAGGACCCUACUUAGAAAACGUUAUACUUAUACAUACCACGCUAUACAGACGUACCUAUUUUAUUGAUUACAGCUAAGAUUAAGAUAAUUUUAAUCGGCAAAUGAUGUCAAAGAGCAAUUGGGAUGUUGAUUCAGGGAGAUAAAUUAUUUAUACAAUCCAAAAAAGAUAGAACAAAAGGGAUCUCACGGAGCUAAUUGUUGUUUAGUUGGUAGUAAUCUUCCUGUGUGAACCAUAGAAAGUUCAGUAGCAGCCGCUAAUGGAACCUAAAAGAGAAUUAAGUUCUAGAUAAUGUCCUCAAUUAUUUUUAAUUGUUGAUUUAUAUCAUGAUUAAAAGCCUGUUUGAUCAGAAUUCUGAUACUGUGGCACAUGUCACUAAUGGCGAAUUAUGUACAUCAUAGUUUAUGAUCCACCGACUUGCAAGAAUCCAAGACUCUUUCACCUCUGAUUGGUAUUGAUUAAUUACUGAUCUCAGUGCAUGAUUAUGACACUCAAAAUGAUUAAUGUAACUUUGAACAAUUUCUAGCAAUUUCUGGUGUCCGAAAGGCAAAUUUUGGUGCAGGUCUUUUUAUGGAAGCCGCCCCGCUAGUUAAGAGUCCUAAGCACGCAAGCAAACAAACUAUCUGGUCAAAAUGCAGCAUGGCCAUUAAUUCUUUCUUGAUCGAUCUAUUAUUCCAAAUAAACAAACAUGUUAUAUAAGCUAUUUGGAGUGAGCUCUCACUACAGUACUAAGCAAGAGUGAUUUUUUUUUUUUACUGAGAAUAGAUUUGAAAUGAACAGUUAAUGUUUCAAUAAUUUACAAGUUGUUAGGUUUAGCGUUCAAAUCCUGUAUCGAACAGUUGAAAAUGGAGAAGAUGUGUGGAAUGGUGGGAGGUCAAAAAAAAAAAAAGUUAAGAACAAAGUUGCUUAACUUACCCGGAAAAAAAUAUUUACAAGUUGUUUUCAACUUGGACUAAUCUUCUUUUGACCAUGGAAGAGAAUGUGGUAUAUUUCGCCUCGUUUGACUAAUAAAUAUUUUAAAUGAUUGGUUGGUGUUCCCAGUUUUUUUUCACACUAGGCCAAAUUAUGCAUACAUUGAACAAAUUGAUUUAAUUCAAACAUGGAGUACUAGGAUAUGAUCCAUAGAUACGAUGUUUAAUAAGCUCAAUAUUCGUUUGUAAUUCCAACAUGCCCUAAUUAACAGUGUUUGAAAAACAUAUCGUAAACUUUGUUUCCAUUUUUUUUUAUAUAUAAUUUAACUGGUUGUGAACAUAAAUCAUAAAAUCUAAACAACCAAGAAUAUCUUUUAGUCAACCCCAGUAAUUAUGUCCAAAAGUUCUUAUCAUCAUGAGAGAGAUGGUAAAUUAUACACUGAAUCAUGGACCAUGUCCAUGUUAUCAUUUUACUUUUUCUAAGCAUUUUAAACUUAAUUAAUCUUUACCUUAUCGUAGGUUGGGUUAAGUAAUUUCAUAGUGAAUCAUUUAAUUGGGACAUUUCUUAGUGCCAAAAGAGAAAAAAAAAACAUGAUAAAUAUGCCAAGUUGUGACUUCUGAGUCUAAAGGCCGGAAUGGGGUAAUUCCUUGGAGGACUGCUGCUCUUAAUAUAUAUUAGUCAAUACACCAUCAAAUCCAUUGACUAGAUUAACUGUUUGAUGAGUAAUUGACUAAUGAAUUUAAACGAUGAUAGCAAGAUUAGGGUACUAGUACACUAUUCAUUUCAGAAAACGGGGAACUUAUGCUUGCUAUUUUUCAAACUAUUAGAUCUUUUGGUGUUUGUUUAGAUGUUGACAAGUCUUAUGAGAUGAAUGUUCACACCCUUAAGGCUUCAAUGUUUACCGGCAUUGGAAACUCUAUUACAAAAUUGUCACCAAUAAUAUGGCAAUCUGUCUCUCUAGAGUAAAGCAUGCAUGCAAGUAAAAUUGAAGCCAGGAUUUAAUAAGUAGCACAAAGAUUGAAAUUGGAAAUCAUGCAAUUCACGUAAUGAAACCCUUUGCAACGUUUGCUUGAAGCUUCUCAAUCAUUCGGCAGAUGGUUAAUGAUUGUGCAAAUAAAAAUGUUGCAAGAAAUUUCAACUUUUUAUGUACCAAAAGGGGAUGAAAAAUAAUCGAUUCCUUCAAAACAAACAGUUACAAAGAAAACCUACCAAAAAAAGAAAUGUCAAUAGUAACAAUCGAGUCAUGGGCAUAUCUUUACAAACAAGUCAUAGGUUUGUCGCAUUACGCUGCCUUAACUCGAUCAAUACGUACCCAAACUGAGAACAGGUUUAUGUUGAAAACACAGAAGCCACUCUGAACUUUCAGCAAUUUUGUGCUUAUCCAAUGAAAACCAAAACAUAAUUAGGAAAUCAGGAAAUCAGAUUACAGUAUUACACACAGAUCCUCUUAACAUCACUAUAACACUCCUCCCUAGCAAUAUAUUCUUGGAACUCUACAAAUACAUGCUAUAUCAAAAUUUUGGUAGGGAUCCCCCACUCCACCAACAUCCUCCAAUGCUCCUUAGUCCUAGGAAUCUUACCCCAAGAAACGGCAGAAAAGUGUCGAAAAAAUUAAACAACACUGACAACCUGGAUCUGUUUCCAUGUGUCAUAUAUGUUCAGUAUAGCUUGUAAUGUGCUUCCAAAAUUAUGUUGUGGCAUUUUAAAAACACAUUUCUAUAAAUUAUUUAUCCACAGGAAUUAGAACCAACAGGCUGAUUAGGCAAUAAUAUAUAUAAUAAAGUUGCAUUGAUGGUUUCGCCUGCCACAUACUAAAAGUACUAAGAGUACAUAUACAUUUUGUUUUGAUAAUAAACCACAUUAGUAUGUACUAGUAUUUGUCGUUGAACUAAGAAGCAGCAAUGCAUGUCUCUGGCAACAAGAAAAUUUAAAGAAAGAAGAAAGAGAGAAUAUGGUUAUGGGGACAUGGGCAACGGCAAGGGUAUUGGGAGUUGAGAACUUUCUUUUCUUUUUCAAGCAUGGGGAAAAGAGAUUUUGGUGCAUGAAUUAUUUGUUAAUUAAGCGGCUGCUGAUGUUUAAGAUAGUUUUAAAACAUUCUUUUAGCCGUUCCAUGAAACAAGGGGUAUCAAACUAUAUAUGUGUGUUCAAGUAGUCAACGUGUAAGUGGAAUUCAAUUUGGAGGAUGAAUACGGAAUCAACUAUAAAUUUUUUUCAAUAAAAUUCAGAAAUAAUGAUCAGUUUGGUACAAAUUCGAUUUUGUUUUUAUCCCAGACGGAAAAGGAUUAAAAUUUGUUCUCGUUGGUAAGAAGAAACCAAAUUAGAAUAGCUAUAUGCAUAUCCUUACAAUUACAAUCUAUUCUUGACUUUACUUUUUAACACUGUCCUAUACAUGUGGAAUAACCUCUCAACCCUCCCUUGAAUCUAGAAAUAUCUGCUACUGAAUUCGUGUGACAUUUGCAAUCUCAAUUAUUCGCUUGGUCCUUCAUUUUUGACACUGAGAAGGGAAAAUUGACUUCUUCCUUUAACUGAUGUUACAGGUUGAAUGCUAGGCUACAAUGAUAGUAUCCUGUACCUGAAUCGAGAAUUGAAGGACAUAGAGUUCGGUGAAUGGUGGGUGACCAAAUGGUAUCCAAGGCACAAAUUAUGGGUGAAAAAUGCAUUAGAACGAAAUGAUUCGCAUUUAUACUGGGAGGCAUCUUCUAAAAUUCUGAAAGGGAAAUGGAAUUAUCCUAAGUUCUAAUAUGCUAAUUUAUAAUCGAUCCAACACGCUGUCUGUAAGAUGUAGUAAAUGCAUACGGAUCAUCCUAAGUUUCAUCUUUCGAGGUUCUUUAUCGUAUUAACACUUGAUAGACUCCACUAUUACCCCAUCUAGAAAAAGUUGAAAAUUAAAAUUAAGUAGCUAUUCUUAGUUCUUCCACAGAUUAGAUAGAUAUGUUGCAUCACAUUUUUUUUUUCAGAAACAAGAGAGAAAAGUAAUCCACAAAUUCUGCAGAUCUUAAAUGUGGGCGAGAAAUUGAAGUUUCUUUUGCUUAAGUUGAAUUUUCUUGGAUAAGUGUUGAAGAUUAGUGUCUCCUUACAUAUAUAUAUGAACAUGGAGUAAUUAAAGGAAGGUUCCAUGCACCUUUUUUUGACGAUUAUGGCUAUCAUUGAUUCAGAACCAAAAUUAGUUAGUGAAAUUUAAUGGGGUCUACGUGUGUUUGCACGAUGAGCCCGCUGAAAGUGAAAGGGCUAAUGAAUCUUUAUUUUCUUUGAUAGAAAACAAAUCGAAUGGAGUGGAGUUAUGAUGCUUUUUUCAAGCAUCAAUUAUUGUCACAAAGGCAGAAUAUUUUUUUUUUGAGGUGUAAAUAAAUUGUUGAUGCAUUAAUGUACCCAUUCUUUUUCUUCUUUUUUAGUUGGUUGUCAGUUCACAGUUGAUAUUUUCAACCUCACAACAGGUUGAAAGAGUCUUAAAAGUGUCUUGCAGUCAUUAAUUUGAAGCACAUAUAAGAAGAAGUUGUGUGAUGGAUAUGGUUUCGCAUAAUUGAUUUGAUUGGAAUUAAAUUUGAACUAGUCAAGAGUUAAUAAAUCAUCUUUAUGUCUGGCGAAUAUGGGACAACUAUUUUAUAAAAAAAAAAAAAAAAAACUGGAUCACUAAUUCAUGAUUUGGACAGUAAUUCUUUUUUGAUUAUUUUCUAGGGAAGAAAAGGGUACAGAAAAAAAAAAAAUAUACCACCAAACAAAAAAAAAAAUCACGGUCAUUCUUGGGUAAAAAAAAAAAGGAAUUACAAUAACCUUGGACUAGGUGCACAUUUGGGUAGAUGCCUAUUGCUUGUCUUGAAUAUUGUUACAUGUACUUCUGCUGAAAAUUUUCCAACCAUUUAAACUAGACCCUUAUCCAAAUUCAUUGGGGAUACUUGCAUUGCAGAACUAGAAAGGAUUGAAAAGUUUGAUGAACAAUUAAUUAAUUAAUUUGCUUUACAUAAGGCUUUAGGCUUCAGCUAAAAACUGAAUCCCAUUGAAGUUUGUAGUCGAAAUGCUUGAAUUUUCAACGGCUAUCUUCUUUUCUACCAGAAAAAAGAAAAGAAAAGAAAAGAAAAGGUCAAUGGCUAUCUUUUGAAGAAUUCAUAUUAUAUAUAUUUUCUUGCAAGGACCAAAUGCUUCAUAAUCGGUCCCUUACGCGACCUUGGGACAAGAAUUUCAGUGUCAUGCAUCAUUUUCAUAGACAAGCUGGAUGGUAAUAUGAUAACAAACUCAUUCAUUGCCAACUUUUGAUUCUAGUCACAAGCCCCCACUAUUUUUUUCUACAUGAAAUCUUUUACUUUCACUUCUUACACAAAUUUCCAUCCCAGUACUCUGUAUUUUCUCACCACAUGUAAUUCAUUAGCCUUACUAUAUCUAGAUAUGUUAGGAACACAAGAAGAUUGUUAGGUUUAGGUAGAGCUACACUCAUUUGAAGUUCGACCCACUCAUAAAUUUUCAUAGAAAUUCAGAACACAUAAUUCAUUGAAAAGAAAUAAAAUGCAAACACACUUGUUAAUUUCUUUAUUCUUGAAUCUGUUGACGUAUCUCCAUCAUAUAAUACCUAAGUGAUAUCAAGAUGAGUAAACAUCUUUGAUAUCAAACUGACAACCAAUAUUAACCUAAUUGAUAAGACGCGCCACAGAAAGUGAUAAAUGCUCUUUCAAGUUGCGAAACGUUGAAAUCUUCCAUCAAGUUGUGAGGCUUGUAACAUGCAAAAUUUGAUAGCGAACCAUGUGAGAAGGAUGGUGAGAACAGAUCUACCAACUUGCCAAUCAUUUAAUCAAACUUCAAACAUAGUUUGAAUUUCUGUUCUUUAUUAACUAUUGAUUCAGCAUAUUGCUGACUACCAUCAUCCUUUUUUUUGGAGGGUUCAUUUUCUGCUUACUCUUUUAAGUAUAUAAUGAGUAUCAAAAAAGUUAUCAGUAAAAUCUAUUUUCGUCGAGCACGAGAUGGUUUAAAUAUUCACAGCCAGAAAUUGAUGUUGUAGCAAGACAAGAGAAUAAUGAAAUAACCAUGAUUAAGAUCUUGAAUGCAAACGAAUUUAAAGCUUUCUAUGUUAUUUCUUUUGAUUUAUUUUAAAACUUAAUCCAGUGAUAUAUAGUCAUUAGAAUUAAAUAAUAAUAAACCAUUCUGUAUCAUCAAUCUCAUCUUGGUUAGUAAAAUGUCGCAUUAGCAAAAACAGCUGGUCUAAUAGUUUUUACCUACUCCCUUGCAUGAUGUUUGAGUGGUGCAGAAGCAGCUAGCUAGGGUAAGGAUCAAAAUCAAGAGGUCGAAUCAACUGUUACAAGUUUGCCCUUUUAUGCGUUCUUUUUCCACUAAUACGUACAAAUGAUGAGAUAAAUUAAUAACAGCUUGACCUUUCACAUGGAAUUAAUCACCUAACCUAUGUUCUUUUUUAAUUUUUUUUUUGGGUACGGAUUUGCCUAUAAUUGAAGUAGGACCCUACUUCGAAAAUGUAAUACUUAUACCCCACGUUACAGAAAAUACAUAUUUUAUUUAUUGCAGCCAAGAUUAAGAUGGUUUUAAUUGGCAAAUGAUGUCAAAGAGCAGUUGGGAUGUUGCAAAGUCUCUCUAAAAAGAUCAGAUCUUUUUGAAGAUAUGAAACUUUCUCCUUGAGUUGCGGAGCUAACGAUUCUACGGGACAGUAGAAUUUGCAACUUUUACAGGAAUUUGAAAGUGGCUGAGAUUGAUCGAGUGAUUGCAGUUGAAGAUGGGAUUGUAUGUGUUUAUGGAUUGAAUGAAAUUCAAGCUGGAGAAAUGAUUGAAUAUGCCAGCGGGAUGAAAGGUGCAAUUCAAGGAGAUGGUUGUUGUCUAGUUGUUUGGUGAUCUUUCAGUCUAAACCAUAGAAAGUUCAGUAGCAACCACCAAUGGAAUCUAAAAAUGAAUUAGGUUCUUGAUGCUGUCCUCAAUUGAUUUUUAAUUCUUGAUUUGUUUCUUAACUAAAAGCUUGUUUGGGGACUCUGUCACUAAUGGCGGAUUAUGGUCUCGAAGGUAUAUGCCUUGAUCCAUGAUAAUGAUUGAAAUUAAACCUAUUCAAAUUUUUAUUUACAAAAAAAUAUAAUAAAAAUAAUGGCGAAUUAUGUGCAUCAAAUUUUAUGUUCACAAGCAACACGACCCACCAGCUUUAUACACAAGAAACACAAGACUUUUUCAUCUCUAAUUUGUAUUCAUUAAUUACUAAUAUUUAUACAUGAUUAUGACACCCAUAAGAAAAGGUGUAACUUCGAACAAUUUUUAGCAAUUUUUAUUGUCCGAAAGGCAAAUUUUGGUGCAGAUCUUUUACGGAAGCCGCCCCACUAAAUGAGAGUACAAAGCACUCAAAAGACUUCUCGUUAUCUCACCUCCAAUCAAACUACACAAUGUCCAUUCUUUCUUGAUCUAAUCUAUUAUUCCAAAAAACAAAUUUUGUUAUAUAAGCUACUGGAGUGAGAUCUCACUACAGUAAUAAGCACGAGUGAUAAAUAGGACUCCUGUACAUGGAAAAAAAAUUUUGGAAGAAAAUAAGAAAAAACUAAAGCACUUUAACUCUAUAAUUCAAGUAAAUUUCUGAUACAGAGAAGAGAUUUGAAAUGAAAAGUUAAUAAUGUUUCAAUGAUUUACAAGUUGUUUUCACCUUGAACCAAGAUUUUGUUUUUAUGACAAAUAAUUGCUAGCAUUCAUCAUAUUGAGGUAAUCUAUUUUUGACCAUGGAAGAGAAUAAUGUAAUUUAUUUCACCUCGUUUAGCUAACAAAUAUCAGUUGGUGCUCCCAUCUUUCUUUCUAAAAGGGCCAAAUUUUCUAUUUUGCAGGUAAUUUUUUUUCCCCGUGUGAUUAUCAUAUUUUGAAUUAAAAAAAAUGUGUAGUAUUUUCACUACAUAUGCAAUAACGAUAUUGUUACAUUGAAUAAUUUGAUAUAAUACAUGCAUUAUUCCUAUUUAAUUCCGAAAUUCCCUAGUCAACAAUGUGUGAAAACAUAUUGUCAACUUUAUUUCCAUUAUAUAUAUUUUUUAAUUUAACGGGUUUUGAACAUAAAUCAUAAAAUCUAAGCAACCACGAAAUUCUUCUAGUCAACCACAAGAAUUAUGUUCAGACGUUAUUAUCUACGAAUCAUUAUCAAAGAGACGGUAAUUAACAACACGCCGAAUCAUAGACCAAAUCCAUGUUUCCUUUUCACUUUUCUUAAGCAUUUUAAACUUAAUUAAUCUUUCCCUCAACGUGCAGGUUAGGUUAAGUAAUCUCAUAGUGAAUGAAUCAUUUAAUUGGGACAUUUCUUAGUGCCAAAAGAAAAAAAAAAACAUGAUAAAUAUGCCAAGUUGUAAUUCCUUGAAGGACUGCUGCUCUUAAUAUAUAUUAGUCAAUACACCAUCAAAUUCAUUGACUAGAUUAACUACUUAAUUAAGUAAUUGACUAACGAAUUAAAACUAUAUGACAUCUAAGCGAUUUCAUAUUUUUGGGCACUGGUACACUAUUCAUUUCAUGAAGUUCACAAUUCUUCAUUUUUUUGGUCUCUGUUUAUGAGAUGAAUGCUCACAAUCUGAGCCCUUCAAAAUCUUUCUUGCUUACCUAUUAUGUUAGGAACUCUAUUCAUAAUUGUCUCGAAUAAAUAUGGCUAUCUGUCUUUAUAGAGUAAGCGUGUCAGUAAAAUUGAAGCCAAAAUAUAAGUAGCAAAAAGAUUGAAGUUGGAAAUCAUGCAUUUCACGUAAUGAAAGCCUUUGCAUCAUUUGCUUCUGAGUCAUCAUUUGGCAGAAGAUUGAUGAUUAUGCAAAUAAAAAUGGGCAAGAAGUUCCAGCUUUCUAGGUACCAAAAUAUCAUGAAAAAUAAUAGAUCCCUUCAAAACAAACAGUUACAAACAAAACCUACACAAGAAAAGGAAAAAAAAAAAAGAGAAAGAAAUAUCAAUAGCUACAAACAAGUCAGGGACGUUAUUUGUGGCGUGAAGGCGUGAAGGGCAAUUGGAAUGUCACUUCAAGAAAUAUUGCAUAUGAAAUGUAAAAGAGCAAUUGGAAUGUCAUUUUCCUAUAUAUAUUUUUCACGGAAACUUGAGUGGAAGCCACUAAUGGAAUCUAUUAGAAUUCUAGACCGGCAAGAAUGUUGAAUCAUUUAUUAAUUCCGGAUUAGUUUCUUAAUCUGACUAUAGUUAAUUAAUAGUAGAGUGACAAGUGUUCCGUGAUCAUGAGUUGUCUAUUUCAUGUUCUACCAUACUUAACCCACCAACUUGCAAUAACAUAAGACCCUUCACAUCUUAGUUUUCACUUUUCACUAAUUAAUGAUUUUACAAGUUAAAAGAAAAGUAGCCAAAAGGAUAGUUUAACUUCUCCAUGGUCGGAAAGGCAAUUUUUUGAGCAAGUGUUGUAUGUUGUGAUAGGUACAGACUAAUUACUUUAGAUUUUGCAAAUCUUGGAAGCACCCCACUAAUUAUUGGUCCUAAGCACGCAAGAGAGGGCAUAGCCAAAUGCUGUUGAGUUGAUGUGAAAUUGAUCCGUGCCAAUAAGAUAGCACAUGAAUUAACUUUUCACGCUAAAUCUUGACACCUUAUGGAAUCCCUAUGGAAUUUCUCCCUCAACUUUGUUAAGUAAUUCAUGUUGGACGAUUUUCAACAAUUUAGUUAAUAACAUUUUCUUUUUUUUUUUUAAUAAAAAUAAACUUGUGUCAAAAUCAAAGUUUUCUUAUUAUGCCAAAUCAAAAUAACUCAUAUGUAAACUGUUGAGUGUGAGGAGUUGACAGAAGUUGAGCAAGGUUUGAAAUGACUUUUUAUCUAAUUAUCUCCAUUCUCCCUUUCAAUAGCUCAAUCCGGGUUGUACCCUAGAGAAUUAGAAGGGUUUUUAUGCCUUUUUUUCUCCAAUUUGGAGGUUGACUAAAAAUAAUCCUAUAGGUUUCUAUACAGAAUAGUUAUUCAACUUAUUUGACGAGACUUAGCCGUCAUAAAUAAUUUAAGUCCUUUAAUGGUGUAGGUUGAGGAUUCAAAUCCCUAUCGUUGUCUUUUGUUUUAGCUCAAAACUUGUUGUAUCUCGCCAAAAUCUUCAACGUAGAUUAGUGCAAAAUCACUAUAAAGGGUGCUGCUGGGGAGAGGGGAGCAGGGGGAGUUUUGAUAUAAACUGGUCAAAAGUUUUAUUUAUUUCUUUUUGACAUAAUACAUAAGUCAGGAGCCUAAGUUGUCGUGUCAAUACUCAAGUCCAUUUUUUUUUUUUUUAUAAUAAAGCAUAUUUCAUUAAAGGAUUACUGGAAAUCGUCCAGCAUAAUAAUACUCUAGUCCAUUUGUGCUCUAAAAUCAAUGGAAAGUUGUAGAAAAAAAGUAUGUUGUAUGGGAAAAAUGGAUGCAACUGGCAUGUUCAUUCAAUUUAAAACUAUUUUCUACAAUAUAAAGGAGGUUAUUAAAAUCAUUGCAUCACAAAAAAAAAAAAAACAGGGGAGAAGGAAUAUUAUGAAAUGAUAAUCCAAGGAAGAUAUCUGGAUUAAAACCUUCCAUUGAAACCGAAAAUCUAAUUUACAAAAAAAAGUGCUGAUUUGUUUGUACAGCUUUUUUGCCAAUGAAUUGAUGGACUGGUUUCGGGUCACCUUUUCCAGGCCCUAUAUUAGAGCCCAACGAAAUGUGUCCAUAAUGUAAAUUCAUUCAGGUGUCAACAGUCCAACUCAAAUUCAUUACUCUAGCCCUUCGCUAAACCCAAUAAACCGGCCCAAUAUUUAGUUUUUCUCUAAAAUGCCCAUGGGUUUAUAAAAAUUGCAAUACCACCCACAAACUUUGCUGUCCAUGGCGAUGGCCAGACCCUUCAUCUUCAAAGCCUGUCUCCUUUCCGCCGAAACUGCGAACCUCUUGAAGAAGAACCGCAUGGACCCGAAGCCCUUUUCAGAAAAAGACCAGUUUUUUUCAACAAAAGCCGAAAAGGUCACCACCAAUGGUGCAGCGAACAUAAGCCUUCAAGAAUGGCAGGGCUGGGGCGCCAUCUCACCUCUACCUGCCAUGGUUAUUGAAGUCAUUCAGGACUUGAAGCUUCUGGAGAAAGAUAUUGGAGCUCAUUUGGAUUUUGGUGGCAAUCAUGGCAAACUCCAAGUAAGAACAGUUUUCUCUUUCUUUAUUGAUUAAUCCCCCAACUCUCCUCCAAGAACAGUGGAAAAAAGAAAAGAAUUGAACUACCAAAAGUAAGAAUAUUCUGUGUAAUAUGUGUUUAAAUUAGAUGAUGAGAUGCAUAAAGUUUUUAACUUUUUAUUUGACUGUUUUCUUGAUAGACAAAUUGAUGGGUGAUUACUUGUUUAGAAGCUUUACUGAUUUUACCUUGGGAUUUUUGUAUUUUGUUUAUUAUUUAUUUAUUAUUAUUAUUGGUUUCUGAAUGGCUGGAAACAUCAACUGUGAUCAAUUGAUGUUAUGUUAAGGAAAUUGUAAGUGGUAAUGUGAAUGUAAACAUGAGAAUAGAAUUGUCAUGUUUACUACUACAUUCAACAGGUUCGAGGCUAUGUUUGGCUUUCAGCUCAUGUGACCUGUUGGAUGGUCAUAGGUAUCUUAUUUGAUCAAUGCAAAGCGUUGUGCAUUAAAAAUCAAUCAUGGUAUUAAUGGAUGAGAUUUUGAUUCAGGUGAUGCUUUUGUUGGUCAACGGUAUUAAUAUGAUCUGUGCAUGACGUCAUCCAGAAUUUUUUGUGUGUAAUUUAUCACUCUGAAACUGAACUGUCUUGUUAGGCAUGUUGCUUUUACUGCUGCCUGUAGAUUAUUUAUGUAAAAUGCCUCUUUCUUGGACUCUCUUAUGUUAAUACAGACGAUGAUUGCUCAUUUAUGACAUGUACUAACAAGCACAUAAAACAGGUGGUUUACUUUUACGGCUGCCACUAGAUUAACAAUUUUAACAUUUCCUUAGAUUGGUAAUGGAAAUUAGCGAGGCCAUACAAUCAUUUUCUGUAGAGUUUGUUGAUAUAUAUCCCUUAAUGUGAAGUUUCUAACGGAGUACUGAAAUUAGUGAGUACCAACUGUCCAGUUCAGUUUUGAAUGUCCUCAGAUGAGUACAUAUGUAUUUAAUUGAUAAGAGCUCCUAGUAUGCAAGUCACUUGGAAGGUGAUACUGAUGUAGACAGUAAGUAAUCAAAUAUUCCCAAGAUUGGAUGUAGAGAUCAGAUGUAGUUCAAGUAUAUACUGGUCUGAGAUAACCUUUAGACAGGGUAUUGCUAGAGUCUUGCAUUCUAUUAUAGAUUCAAGGGUGCUUUUAGGUGGUUAAACUAUUGAAGUAAAUGAAAGUGUGUUUUACCAUGUCUUUUAUUUGUUUUUUGUUAAAUGUAUUCCCCUUUUCACUAUGCAGAAUGAUAGCCUUCUCUUCUCUAUCAGUCUCUCUCUCUAUCUCAUUUUCUGUGUGUGUUUGCAAUAUUUUUGGAUGUGUACUUAAUGACAUAGAUAGCAAGCAUCAUAUCACAAUGUUUAUAUGGUAAGGAGUUACAAUUAGGUUUUGUAUUGUUUAUGUUGUUUGCUCUAUUUGAUAUUUCUUUUUUUCUGUCAUUUUCAGUGGUUAAUCAAUACUUUUUCUGCUGAAUAAUGUUGUACAUAUUGUAGCUGCUGUGGAGUGAUUAUAUAAUUUAACAGAAUGGUUUGUUAAUUUAGCUGAUAAUCCAUUUUGGAAAUUGAAAAAUGUAACGACAAUAAGGGAACAGGUUCAUGACCUGCUAGAUUCUAUCCCACAUCGAUGCUAUCAGUGCCUCCAAUUCAGUAUAUAAAGUUCAUUUCCUUAUCCCACGAUCGCCGAGCUCGGUAACGUGGGCUUUCACCCAAGUGGGGGGCAAGGGCAUGGACUCGGUUGCUGGCAGCACAAAAAAAUUCCACAUUCCACAUUCCACGAUUUAAAAAAAAAAAAUCAAUGAAUUAAAAAAACGUUGCAGCAACUGGGACCAUUCCCUUUUCUUCAUUUUUCGUGUUUAAGCCACAAAUAAACUACAGAAAUUUAGCUAGCUAGAUUUGCAAUGUUUUUGUAUGUGUAUGUAAUCCCAUAGAUAGCAAGCGUCAUAUCAAAAUGUUUAUAUGGUAAGGGGUUACGAUUAGGUUUCUUAAUGUUUAUAUUGUCUGCUCUGUUUGAUAUUUCUUUUUUCUAUCAUUUUCAGUAGUUAAUCAAUACUUUUUCUAUUGAAUAAUAUUGUACAUGUUCUAGCUGCUGUGGAGUGAUUGUCUAACUUAGCAGAAUGGUUUGUUAAUUUAGUUGGUAAUCCUUUUUGGAAAUUGAAAAAUGUAAUGACAAUAAUGGAAGUAGUUCAUGACUUGCUAGAUUCUAUCCCACAUCGACAUCAUCAGUGGCUCCAAGUUGGUAAAUAAAGUUCAUUUCCUUAUCCUACGAAUGCUAGGCUCAGUAACAUGGGCUUGUACCCCAAGUGGGGGCAUUAAGGGUAUGGAAUCAGUUGCUUGCAACCCAAAAAAAUUCCACAUUCCAGUAUCUAAAAAAUAGACAUGAAUGAAUUCAAAAAUGUUGCAGCUGGUUGGACCAUUACCUUUUCUUCAUUUUUGCUGUUUAAGGCACAAUGAAACUGUAGAAAUUUAGCUAGCUAGCGUUUGCAAUAUUUUUGUUUGUGUUCAUAAUCCUGUAGAUAGCAAGCAGGUUCAUUUUUCCAGUUUAAGGCACAAUGAAACUAUAGAAAUUUUGCUAGCUAGUGUUUGCAAUAGUUUUGUAUGUAUACAUAAUCUCAUAGAUAGUAAGCAGGUGUUAUAUCACAAUGUUUAUAUGGUAAGGGAUUAUGAUUAGUUUUCUUAUUGUUUAUGUUGUCUGCUCUGCUUGAUAUUUCUUUUUUUCUGUCAUUUUCAGUGGUUAAUCAAUCCUUUUUCUGCAGAAUAAUGUUGUACAUAUUGUAGCUGCUGUGGUGUGAUUAUAUAAUUUAGCAGAAUGGUUUGUUAAUUUAGCUGAUAAUCCUUUUUGGAAAUUGAAAAAUGUAACGACAAUAAGGGAACUUGUUCAUGACUUGCUAGAUUCUAUCCCACAUCGACGCUAUCAGUGCCUCCAAUUCAGUAUAUAAAUUUCAUUUCCUUAUCCCACGAUUGCCGAGCUCGGUAACGUGGGCUUUCACCCAAGUGGGGGGCAAGGGCAUGGUCUCGGUUGCUGGCAGCACAAAAAUUCCACAUUCCACAUUCCACGAUCUAAAAAAUAAAAAUCAAUGAAUUAAAAAAAAACAUUGCAGCAACUGGGACCAUUCCCUUUUCUUCAUUUUUCCUGUGUAAGCCACAAAUAAACUGUAGAAAUUUAGCUGGCUAGCGUUUGAAAUAUUUUUGUAGGUGUGCAUAAUCCCAUAGAUAGCAAGCGUCAUAUCAAAAUGUUUAUAUGGUAAGGGGUUACGAUUAGGUUUCUUGUUGUUUAUAUUGUCUGCUCUGUUUGAUAUUUCUUUUUUCUAUCAUUUUUAGUGGUUAAUCAAUACUUUUUCUGUUGAAUAAUGUUGUAUGUGUUGUAGCUGCUGUGGGGUGAUUGUAUAACUUAAUAGAAUGGUUUGUUAAUUCAGCUGAUAAUCCUUUUUGGAAAUUGAAAAAUGUAAUGACAAUAACGGAAGUAGUUCAUGACUUGCUAGAUUCUAUUCCACAUCGACAUCAUCAGUGGCUCCAAUUUGGUAUAUAAAGUUCAUUUCCUUAUCCUACGAAUGCUAGGCUCGGUAAUGUGGGUUUGUACCCCGAGUGGGGGCAUUAAGGGUAUGGAAUCAAUUGCUUGCAACCCAAAAAAAUUCCACAUUCCACUAUCUAAAAAAUAGAAAUGAAUGAAUUCAAAAAUGUUGCAGCUGGUUGGACCAUUACCUCCUUCAUUUUUGCUGUUUAAGGCACAAUGAAACUGUAGAAAUUUAGCUAGCUAGCAUUUGCAGUGUUUUUGUAUGUGUACAUAAUCCCAUAGAUAGCAAACAGGUUCAUUUUUCCUACUUAAGCCACAAGGAAACUACAGAAAUUUGGCUAGCUAGUGUUUGCAAUAUUUUUGUAUGUAUACAUAAUCCCAUAGAUAGUAAGCAGGCGUCAUAUAACAAUGUUUAUAAGGUAAGGGGUUAUGAUUAGGUUUCUUAUUGUUUAUGUUGUCUGCUUUGUUUGAUAUUUCUUUUUUUUCUGUCAUAUUCGGUGGUUAAUCAAUACUUUUUCUGCUGAAUAAUGUUGUACAUAUUGUAGCUGCUGUGGAGUGAUUAUAUAAUUUACCAGAAUGGUUUGUUAAUUUAGCUGAUAAUCCUUUUUGGAAAUUGAAAAAUGUAACGACAAUAAGGGAACUAGUUCAUGACCUGCUAGAUUCUAUCCCACAUCGACGCAACCAGUGCCUCCAAUUCAGUAUAUAAAGUUCAUUUCCUUAUCCCACGAUCGCCGAGCUCGGUAAUGUGAGCUUUCACCCAAGUGGGGGGCAAGGGCAUGGACUCAGUUGCUGGCAGCCCAAAAAAAUUCCACAUUCCACGUUCCACGAUUUAAAAAAUAAAAAUCAAUGAAUUAAAAAAACGUUGCAGCAACUGGGACCAUUCCCUUUUCUUCAUUUUUCCUGUUUAAGCCACAAUUAAACUAUAGAAAUUUAGCUAGCUUGCGCUUGCAAUAUUUUUGUAUGUGUGCAUAAUUCUAUAGAUAGCAAGAGUCAUAUCACAAUGUUUAUAUGGUAAGGGGUUACGAUUAGGUUUCUUAUUGUUGAUAUUGUCUGCUCUGUUUGAUAUUUCUUUUUUUAAUCAUUUUCAGUAGUUAAUCAAUACUUUUUCUGUUGAAUAAUGUUGUACGUGUUGUAGCUGCUGUGGAGUGAUUGUCUAACUUGACAGAAUGGUUUGUUAAUUUAGCUGAUAAUCCUUUUUCAAAAUUAAAAAAUGUAAUGACAAUAACGGAAGUAGUUCAUGACUUGCUAGAUUCUAUCCCACAUCGACAUCAUCAGUGGCUCCAAUUUGGUAUUUAAAGUUCAUUUCCUUAUCCUUCAAUCGCCGGGCUCAGUAACGUGGGCUUGUCACCUGAGUGGGGGCAUUAAGGGUAUGGAAUCAGUUGCUUGCUACCCAAAAAAAUUCCACAUUCCACUAUCGAAAAAAUAGAAAUGAAUGAAUUCAAAAAUGUUGCGGCAACUGGGACCAUUCCCUUUUCUUCAUUUUUCCUGUUUAAGCCAGAAUGAAACUAUAGAAAUUUAGCUAGCUAGCGUUUGCAAUAUUUUUGUAUGUGCUCAUAAUCCAAUAGAUAGCAAGCAGGUUCAUUUUUCCUGUUUGAGCUACAAUGAAACUAUAGAAAUUUAGCUAGCUAGUGUUUGCAAUAUUUUGGUAUGUAUGCAUAAUCCCAUAGAUAGUAAGCAGGUGUCAUAUCACAAUGUUUAUAUGGUAAGGGGUUACGAUUGGGUUUCUUAUUGCACAUGUUGUCUGCUCUGCUUGAUAUUUCUUUUUUUCUGUCAUUUUCAGUGGAAUCAACACUUUUUUUGUUGAAUAAUAUUGUACAUAUUGUAGCUGCUGUGGAGUGAUUAUAUAAUUUACCAGAAUGGUUUGUUAAUUUAGCUGAUAAUCCUUUUUGGAAAUUGAAAAAUGUGACAACAAUUAGGGAACUAGUUCAUGACUUGCUAGAUUGUAUCCCACAUCAACGCUAUCAGUGCCUCCAAUUCAGUAUAUAAAGUUCAUUUCCUUAUCCCAUGAUCGCCGAGCUCGGUAACGUGGGCUUUCACCCAAGUGGGGGGCAAGGGCAUGGACUCGGUUGCUGGCAGCCCAAAAAAAUUCCACAUUCCACUAUGUAAAAAAUAGAAACAAUGAAUUAAAAAAAUGUUGCCGCAACUGGGACCAUUCCCUUUUCUUCGUUUUUCCUGUUUAAGCAUAAAAAAAACUAUAGAAAUUUAGCUAGCUGGCGUUUGCAAUAUUUUUGUAUGUGUACAUGAUCACAUAGAUAGCAAGCCGGUGUCAUAUCACAAUGUUUAUAUGGUAUGGGGUUGCGAUUAGGUUUCUUAUUGUUUGUGUUGUCUGCUCUGUGUGAUAUUUAUUGAUUUUUUCUAUCAUUUUCAGUGUUUAAUCAAUACUUUUUCUGUUGAAUAAUGUUGUAUGUACAUGUUGUAGCUGCUGUGAAGUGAUUAUCUAAUCUAACAGAAUGGUUGUUAAUUUAGCUGAUAAUCCUUUUUGGAAAUUGAAAAAUGUAAUGACAAUAACGGAAGCAAUUCAUGACCUGCUAGAUUCUAUCCCAUAUCAACAUUAUCAAUGCCUCCAAUUCAGUAUAUAAAAUUCAUUUCCUUAACCUACGAUCGCUGGGCUUGGUAAUGUGGGCUUGUCACCCGAGUGGGGGCAUUAAGGGUAUGGAAUCAGUUGCUUGCAACCCAAAAACUCCACAUUCCACUAUCUAAAAAAUAGAAAUGAAUAAAUCAAAAAUUGUUGCAGCAACUGGGACCAUUCCCUUUUCCUCAUUUUUCCUUUUUAAGUCUCAAAGAAGCUAUAGAAAUUUAGCUAGCUAGCUGAGAAGUGUUUUGGGAAAUCCUAACUCCAUUCUGUUGUUUUAAUUGCUAUUAGGGGCAAUCCCCUAAUUUGUUUCUUUCUGAUCCUAGUGGUUGAUAUGCUCAUCUUCAGGGAGAUUUUAAAGUGCAAGAGGAUAAAAAGCAUAGGGCAAAGUUUCAAUCUUUAGGAAAUUCUGAGAAGAAGCUCCAAUUCUUUUCAGCUCGUCAAAUAGCAUGCCGCUUACUCGGUAGUAGAGGAUAUCUCUGUCAGAAGGUACAUCUGUUAUUUCUUUUUUCUCAUAGUGAUGGUAAGUUGGAGAACCAACUAUUGUCUCGGUGUUCCUUCCCAUAACCCAUAAAUUGUCUCUGCAUUUCAUCUGUGCUCAGUUGCAAAUUCAGUCUUUUCCUGUCUGUCUAAUUGCUUAGUGCUGGCUUCCCAUGGAAGAUUGCAUGUGUUCAAGACUUCUGCCUUUUCCCCUUUGGCAUCGGAUACGUUUUUGGUUGUAUAUGCAUCCAAAGGUUCAUAUUCUUCUCGUUUUCAUUUUCUUUCCCUAGUUACAUAUAUGCAUUACAUGAGGAUCAGCUAAGGACUUUAUUGUUCUUCUGUAGGAUUUUUUACGACAGAACAACACGGGAAAGUUGUUAUGUCAAGUGUUUGGCACCCAUGCUGCAACUUUGUGUCUCUUUGGCAUUUCUGAACUUGAAGAAAUCAUGUGGAGUGCAUUGAACUUUUCAGGUUAAAUCAUGGUUUAAUUGGUAAUAUUUUGAAGAUGCAUCUCCUCAUCUUUGAUUCACUAUGUUGUACUAGUAUUAGAUCUGUAAGGCAUGAGUGUCAAAGCCAUGACUAUUUAAAUGCACAAUGGUCUUUGUAGUUCAUUUUUUGACUUCGUAGUUUGCUCUACAUGUUCGGCUUCCUACUGCAAACACUUCACAUUGUUGAAACUGCUUGAUUUCUUCUGCAUGCAACUGACAAUCUCUGAAAACUUUCUUUCCCAAUAAUUAUUGUAAGGCUCACUUUGUUUACAAUCAUAAUAGACCUUGUAUUUUCUGAUUCCACUCCCUUGAGCCUCUAAAUUAAUUUUUACCUCCUUAAAAAAAUAAAUUAGCAAAGAGUUUGUGGCAAAAUUUGUUGCUAUAAAAGUUUGACAGCUAAAGUUGCUUUGUGAAAAACCUAUAGGAAUAAUCAACUAAGUGGAGCCUCAGAUGAGCAACAGAAAGAGGAACAGAUUAUUAAUUAAAUAAUUUAUUAUGCAUGCCUACUGGGUAGUAUACAACUCUGGGAUAUUUGAGGGAAAAUUGGAAUUCCAUCCUUUUUUUUAACUCAAUUAACUUGAGAAGUUGAGUCUAAUUAACUCGAAUAGAUCACAUAGCUGAUUGUAACAAAUUGAGUUUGAGAAGGUAUGCACAGUAUUCUGAUGGAACAUCGGUUACUUUCUCUGUAAUCUGAGAUACCAUUUCCCAAUUUGAAAGGAUUACAUCCUUACUUCUGCAGAAGGGAAUAUAUAUUUAGUGAUAAUUGGGAUUCAUUUCGUAUAAAACUAACUGGUUGAAUUUGAUCUCUUUAACGUAAUUGAAUAAGGUGUAAAAGACGGAGAUCUGGAGAUGAAAUCUUGCUACAAUUAAAAUUGUUAUGCCAUGUUUUUGACUUUCUAAUAUAACCUAGAAUUACGUCAAAGCUAUGUGGGACUAAGGUCUUGGCCAAUUUAAUGGAUUAUUUAGAUAUGAGAAAUAGACUUAGCUAAAACAACUACAGUAUAUGAAAUAGCCUAUUAUGCUAUUUUUUGCAUUAUUAUUUGUUAUGAAUAAUGCCAGUUUUUAACGUUAAUGCAUAUCCAUGUUUAGUUUCAUGUUCAUUUGCUACUUUAAGACUUUAAAGUUUAUGCCUGUGAGUUUCUGAAGUGCAUUGUGUAUUCUUCAGGGAGAAGAAAUGUUUGGUGUCUCUACCCUAAUAAGAAUGCUAUGCCGAUGUCUGUUCAGGACACAUUCAUUCAAAAUUCCUCCAGGGAUCAUCAUUCUGAACAGAAUUCGGUAAUCCUUCUAUAGUCGCAUGAAUACAGAAAAAGAGUGAAUUUCUUGUAUUUUUUUUGGUUGUCAAAUCUUGAUUGGUUCAAACGUAGUAGAACCUUCAUUAAGUUUGCGAUCUACUAAUUAACAAAUUAAGUUUGUGAUCUUUAGUUUUAAGAUUGCAUUUAACAUGGUAUGUUCUUCUUCUCCACAAAAUGCAUCAAAAGAAAAACAAAUUGAAAUGAUUUUCAGCUCAAGUCUCAGGCUUAAGGUUGAUUGAUUAAGCCUCUGGACAAAAAAAUCAUUUCUCAUAUUCCUCAUAUGAAACAUGUUAUCCUUGUUCUCAAUCAUUUCCUGCUUUAAAAAAAAAAUUAAAUUAUGAGUUUUGUAUCAUUGUAAUUUUUUUUUCUGGUCCUUUGCUGAUUUGAUGCACAUAAAUAGAAAUUUAGUGCUGAACAAAAAUUGUUCUAGCUGACUGUGCAAGUUGGAAUGUGAAAGUUUUAUGUGACUCUAGGUUUGGAACUGCAUAGGUGCAUGAAGUACAGUAUUGUGUAAUUAGUUGGUUACAUUAGCUCAUUGAAGCAAUUUAAACUUUUGGAGAGGAGAAUAAAUUGAUUUAUCUAAGAAAUUUGAUGUUGAUGAACAAAAGAUGAUUUUACAGUAAAUGGUGAUCUACUUCGUGAAUACUACAUGUUAUUCAAUUUAACUGUUUACUAUACUUGCAACCUUGAAUUCAACUGAAUAUUUUCAUGAAAUUUUCUGAAGCCACAGAAGUGCUCAAUAUCAAGAAUCUUUGAACCCGGUACAUUUUUUAGAGUCCUUGUCAGUAAAUGUUCUGUUUGUUUAGGAUAUACCUAUCGUAAGUGUCACAUGAGAUAAUAACAUCUUAAACUUAAGAAAAUAUGCUCAAGUUAUAUCAGAAAAUUAUAACAUUAUAAGAGAAGACGACAUCUUAACACAAUGCUCUGUAAUAGUGUACUGUUUUGGCAUUGUAAACAGUUAUUUGAUUUAGGCUCUGAAGUUUUCAAUUGUAGUUAUCCCAUAGAGUUAGUAAAAAUUUUACAUGAUGAUAGGAAGGUAACUCUAACUCAUAGAGGUUAGAUUUACUCCCGAGAACUCAUAUGUAUAUUUACUGGGUUCUUCCCUACUUUUGAAUUAUAUUAAAGCUUACCAUUUCCCCAAAAAAAAGUUAUGUGAUUUCAACUCUCGCAAAUGGAUUAUGGAUGCCUAUCUUUUUGUGGUUUUACGCAUCUUUGGUCAUAGGGAGGAGAUGGAGAGGAUUAAUUGAGUGCCACAUUCUGUUUCUGUUGGAUUAGCACGAAAUUUAGAUAUAAAGAAGCAUGAAUAUCAUUCAGGCUGACGUCCUCAAAUUUGUCGAAUUAGUUGAGCGUACAGAAUUAAGUAAUGCAGUAUAUGUGCAAGAUAUUCAGAUUUCCACAUCGGAGCUUGGUAUUUGAUCAGUCCCCUAAUUUUAGUUCAUGGUUUAAUUCCAAAAGAUUCAAUUUUCUAUUCCUCAAAAAAUGGAGUGUCAAGUCCUGACUAGUUUGGGUGGACAAAAGUGGAUUGGUAAGUUGAAGAUUCUACUUAUAUGUGUCUAUGAAUUCCUGCCCUCACACGCAUUGAAUGCUUAUAGCCCCUUUGUCUGUGUGUUCAGGUAGCUUAAACUUUAGCCCAUACAAAGAAGACUGGCUUCGUUUCAAUACGUUAACCUUCAAUUCUUCUGACUCUUCUAGGAUAUUGAUUUGAAGGUUGUGUGACUAUGCAGGUACUUGGAGAUGAAAGAAUUAAUUUUAUUUUGAUUGAUGGUACAUGGAGCAAUUCCCAAGCAAUGUUCAAGCGUUUAAAGGUAAACCAGAAAUACAAUUGGGGUCUGACCUCCUUUUAUUUUCUAUCACACGUCCAUGGGGCUAUGACUAAGCAUUCUUGUCUCAGAUGGGAGACAAGAAAAAGGAAAAGAGGAAAGAAAUCUAGUGGAGCAACCACAAGUUCAUUGUCUUGUAGGUUAUAUAUUUUUCUUGAGUUAAGUUAUACAGAUAUAAGCAUAUGUGUUUUCACUUUGAAAUGGAAAGGUUCCUAGUAAAUAGUUCAUUUACAACAACAGUAAGAAUUAAAUGCCUUGACAUCUGGAAGUGCCACAGAUUCUGAAACUCUUCUGUAAUAUGUAGUUUUGAAAUCCCAUCAUUCCUUUGGUGGACAUAAAUGGAUAGAGGUUAUGAAUUACCUUCUAAUUAAGCAAAUUUGUUUCCUGUUACACCAGUUCCAAGUUAUAAAUACGACACAUGCAAGCAGGUACACAUGAAAUGUUGAAUCUUACAAGAAAGUAAAGUAGUUCUUCUCUGAAUGAAUUAGUUACAAGUUUUUGUCAUGCUUCUCUUCAAUACAUAUAUAUCUUCAUUUUUGUUGUGGAUAUACUUUGUGGAUUUGGUAGAUUGUAACUCGACUGGCUUCGCUUGUUUGUUUUGUAAUACCCAAUGUAUAUUUACGAAUCUGACUCUUGUUUUCAAGUUAUUGACACAUGCGGUAUUUGAACUAUGCCUAAGAGUGUUUAUGGGUAUCAAAUAUCAGACACAUCUCAAGCAAAAAAUCAGUUUGAGGAUCCUGUUUUUCCAAUUUCAUGCUGCAUUGCAAAAGAUGAGCGUUGUAUGGAUCAGUCUAGUGAUGUAGUAGUGCAUCCUACUCAACAUUUACCUUGAACAUUGAUGUGCAGGAUAAAGCACAGGUAGUUUGGGGAGAAGACCUUCCUUGCAUCUCUCUGAAUGCAGGGGUAUCUCUAAUGCACAAACUUAGGCAAGAUUCUUCAUGCAAAUGCUCAUCUCGUGAUAUAUUUGACUUGCAUGCUUUAAUAGUUUAUUCUUGUUUGCCAAUUUAAUGCCACCGCGAUUAAGGUUCAAUUUCUUUCUUGUCUGAUAGCAGACCACAACCCUCAUGGGACCGUACCUGCACAGCAGCAGCAGCAGUUGGUCUCCUUUAUGAGCUUCAUCUUGUUCCUGAGUUCAGCUCUCAUGGACUGGAUAGUCAGGCUGAAGCUAUCGAAGAUGCUUUAGAGAUUCUGUUUGAAUCACUUACAGCUCGAAGACUUCGUAUGGGGAGGUCCAUCAGCCGAAAGGAGAGACAUUACAGCAACCUCUGCUAGAAACAAGCAUUUCUUCUACAAUUUUGGCGGAGACUUUUUCCCUUCAAUUGAGGCAGCGCCUGCAUACUAACUGAUUAGGUUAUAAGAGGUGAGAUCCUUGCUAAUUUCUAGUAUUACAGAAAGGAAAUACAAAGUGACUGAGAUCAAAGAACUUCGGUGGCCGGGCAGUGAUUUUAUCAGACUAUACAGAUUCAGAUUUUUUUGCACAAUGUUUUGAUGCUGAAAUUUCAGACACGUUUUUGGACAUAUGCCAGAUGGUUGUGAUGCAAUGCUAAGUACUUGGACGCAAAGCGGAUGAUCGAAAAAAUAUGGUAUUCGCUUUUCCCACAUUUUGAACUUGAAAGCAAGCUAUUUAUUAUGCUUUGGAUUUGUUAAAAGGAACCAUUUUGCUUGUAUGUAUAAUGUAUUUCAAUUCUGAACUCACUGAUGUAUGUUUACGUGAUUAUAUCUCAAGAAUUUAGUUUCUUGAACUAGUCCUAUAUUUGGCUGUCCUGCUACUCUUAGUCUUACGGAUUAAAAGACUGAUAGAAAGAAUUAAUGUAUUAUUGGCUCUGAAUGAUAAAGUGAAGUUAAUUAUGGAGUUUGGGUUAAAGAUGGAUGGAAGAAAUGGUGGCCUGUGUUUCCUUUCAUUAUCAAACUGUUUGUUAACAAGCGAGACAAAAUGGUUCAUGUAUGCUAAAAGUUCAGUGGAGUUUAUAUCCAAAUUUUGCCUAUGCAUUGGGGUAUCUUGUGAAGUUUGCCAGAUGUGCACCAAAAAGUGGUAAAAUGACAACAUAUAAAUGUCAAUUGAUACAAAAAUUUAGGAUCAAAUUAUGAUUAAUGGAUACUAAUACUAGUGUAGGGAUGAAUAAGGAAAUGAAAACUGUCCAAUAAUAACAAAUUCUUUACUUUAUCAUAUUAAUUUAUUUUGGGCGGAUAGCGGGAGUCGAACCCGCGUCUUCUCCUUGGUAAAGAGAAAUUUUACCAUUCGACCAUAUCCGCACUUUCCGUUCUUGAUAUAUAAUAUGUCCACACAAUAUUAAAUUAAUAAAAUUAAUAUAUACCCGGAUCAUUUUUAUAUAGUGUCGGACCAGAUACUCUCCUAAGGGCGAUUCCAAUUAUUUUAAAUUAUUUUAUUAAUUGUAUUUUUUCAUCAUUCAAGAAGUUUGCAAGAAGUUUGACCCCCCCCCCCUAAUUUUUUCUUUAUUUGCAUUUUCAUCAUUUUCUUUAUUUGCAUUUAUUUGCAAGAAGUUUACAUGAUCAGUAUAAUGUUGUCCACUACUAUGUUUUUAGGAAAUUAAUCGAAGUUAUUUAUAAAAUUGGGAUGGUGUAUUAAUACAAACAAACUUCAUUACCAUGAAUAUUAUCUACCUUAAACUUUCACUAUGCAUUCGUUUAACGGUUCACCACCAUCACCUCUUAUUAACCUUGAAUUGCACCAUUAAUUUAUUUCCAAUUGAGGUUAAUUGGGGGAAGAGAUGGGUUAGAUGGUUCAGAGGGAACGAGUGUAAGUGCGAGAUUGCGAAUUCAAGUCCUUCCACUUACACUAAAGAAAGAUAAAAUUGAGGAUAAUAAGCAUAAGAACGUAGAAACAUAGCAAAGUAUAUAACAAAAGUUGAAAUUUUGUGAUGCAUUGGUACAAAUUUGUAUUAGCACAAGACUUGCAUAGAGUUUCGAAAUUAAACUUUCAAACUAAGGCUAAUGGGCAUAAGAUAAUUCUAAAAUAUGCCUAAUUUAUCAUCAAUCAUGCAUAAUAAUAAUAAUAAAAGAACUUGUAUAAAAUGUAUUGAAAUUAUAUAUUUAUGUGACACUAUAAGUUGUUUACCUGUAUAAGAAUUGCCGAAACGAAUAUCAAAUUGACGUUAAAAAAAAUAUACAUAAUUUAUUGUAACUGAUGCAUAAAAGAGUGAUACAAAAAUGGAUUGAAAGUAUUAUAAACUGGCCCGAAAAUCAAAAUGUCAAUAUGAUCCUUGUUUAGAAGUUUUUAACCAAAUAAAACAAAAGAGGGAUUCCCCACGUAUCCAACAACUAAUAUACUUCUUUGCUACUGCCAAACAAGGUUCCUCCUCCAUCCAUCCAUUCAUCCCCUUCCAUCCCUUCUCCGCUUCUCUCUCUUCCAUUUUCCUGCCAUUUUUUUACUUUCCACAAAAAUGACACCCCUACAGAUGCAGGCAGCUGCUACAUUCCAACAUUUUCUUGUCUCUUUCUUUUUCACCAUUUUCAUAACGAGACUGGACAAAACUGAUCGUUGAACAGAAGAGAAACAAUGGGGUCUAAUCCAUCUCUAAUGUUGUUUCUCUUCUUUCUUCUUGUUGGAUUGGCCUCUUCAUCCUACAUUUCAAGUGAGAAUUGUUAUGGCAUUUAUGUAUACCAUGUUGAUUUUUUUUUUCUAAUCUAAUUUCUGUUUAAUAUAUCUGAAACUUUCGUUCUAUGUUAGAUCAUGCAUUGGAGCCUAGCGGAUUGAGAGGUCGUACCCUUCUUCAAGCAAAAGCAUGUGAGAUUCUUUCUCUCCUUUAUUCAUUUUUGCACCCUGGAUAUUGUUGGGAAUGAAGAAAUAAAUUAAGUUUCAAAAUCAUUUUUAUCCUUGCCACAAUUUCAUGGUUGUUCCUUGUGAGGGCAUCCUUGAUUAAACUUUUAUUUUGACAUCUUAAAAUUUAAAUUUCUGAAUCCCAGAAUUAUUCCUUUGUUAUAUCCUUUUGAAUGUUAGUUAAUUCUACAGAAUUUCUUAGUCCUCCUAAAUUAUGAGCAAUAAAGUUAAUACUUCUACAUGUUAUCCAUGGAUUUAGCUUCAAUCUUGCAUUUCUUUCACUUAGGUAAAUCAUUCCAACAAAUUAACUCAUAUGCUGCCUACAUUCUUUUCAUUAUUUAUGUUUAAAAGAAUCCAACUAGGUUCGGUUACAUGUGGAGAAACAAUUUACUUUAAGUUAAAAAAAUUCAUAAUAUCAGAAAAAAAAAAGCAUAUGAAUGCAGAUAACUGCAUGAACAGAAAAAUUACCAUUUUAGUGAUCUAUCCAUGUUUCUUCAAGAUUGACAUAAUUCAAGUUGUUUUUCUCUGCCUAAAGAACCAUAGGUGGUCAUUUCUACAUGCCCUUAUCAGGAAAACAAAAGAGAAAAGGAAAAGUUUUAUUUAAUAGCUAAGCCUUCCAUUCUACAAGAAUUAUUGAACACUGAAAAUUCUUGGAAAAUGUAUGCUAAAACUUUCUGCAAUCAUGAAACUUUUCAGCUUGCCCUGUAAACUUUGAAGCUCAGAACUACACAAUCAUCACUAGCCAAUGCAAAGGGCCGAAUUACUCUCCAAAACUCUGCUGCGAUGCCUUCAAGGAAUUCGCCUGCCCUUUUGCUGAUCAAGUGAAUGACAUGAAAAACGAUUGUGCAUCAACCAUGUUCAGUUACAUUAACAUGUAUGGACAUUAUCCUCCUGGACUUUUUGCGAAUUUUUGCAAGGAUGGCGCCCAGGGCCUUGAAUGUGCAUCUGCAGAAGCAGAAAGUCCCAAGAAAAAUGGGGCGCUGAAAACUGCUCAAUCAACUGUGCUGGUGCUGGCAGCUGGUUUCUUGACGUUUUUGUUGAAUGCCUUCUAAAACUCAAGAACAGAAAUCGAAAAUGUGCACCUUUUAAUUACUAGUUCAGACAUUGAUAUCCUCCGAGUUUAUAUAUAAGUAAUAUUUAUCUUGAGAUUGUAACGUUUUUUGUGCUCUGAUCAUUCUCUUGGACAAUAUUGAGCCUAAUUCGUGCUGCUCGAAACAUAUUAUUGUUCUUCAGGCUUUUCGAGCAAUAAAAUUAAGUUAUAACUCACAAUUUUCAACAACAUUACAAUCUAAUUCACGAUUAACGAUUAACCACGUUUGGUGAGACUUGAACCUAAAACUAGUAAAAUUUUCGUGACACAUAAAUCUUGGAGUUGCAGAGCAGGAUAAUCAGAUUACAAUAAGUUAGCUCAAAUUUGUAGGAUAAUUUCAGAAACCUCCCUUGAGAUUUCUGACUAUUUCACUGACCUCCCUCUAGAUUUCGAGAAUUACACUAACGUCCCUUGAAGUUAAUUAUCUUGUAACAUUUAAAUCCAACCAAUAAUUAAAAAGUGAUAUUAGGAGAGAGAAAAUAAUAUGAUUCCAUCAUUGUCCCUCAUCUACUACAUUAUUUAAUUAAUUUAACACUAACACAUACAUUAAAGAAAAACACUACAAUUUGUUGUUUAUCAUUAGGGAUAAAAUCACAUAUAGCAUCAAAUAAUAGUAUAUCAUUUUAUAUUUUUCACUUAAUAUAAGAUCCAAAUUUCUCUUUUCAAUUACAUACUCAUUGUCAAACACAAUUAAUAACAAAUAAAAAAAAAUGCAACCAAAAUAUUAUAAAGAACAAACUUUAACAUCAUAAAUAUUCUUUUCAAUAUAUUAAGGUUAGUCGCUGAGAUUUUUAUGAUAUUACAUUUCACUCUUUUCAAUAUUUUGGUUAUAGAUUGUUUUGAUUAUUUAUUAUUGAUCUUGUUUGACAAUGGAUUUGUAACUGAAAAGGGCAAUUUCGAUCUUAUAUUAAAUGAAAUAUAUAGAAUGAUAUACUAUUUUUUGUGCCACAUGUGAUCUCGAAUGAUAAACAACAAAUUCUAGUGUUUUCUUUAAUAUUUGGGUUGAUACUAGGUUAAUUAAACAAUUUAGUAGAUGAAGGACAAUGGUACAAUCAUAUUAUUUCUCUCUCCUAAUAUCACUUUUUAAUUGUUUGUUAGACCUAAAUGUUAUAAAAUAAUAAAUUUCAAGGGAGGUUAAUAUAAUUUUUAAAACCUGAAGGCAGGGCAAUCAAAUACUCAGAAACCUCAAGGGAGGUUUCUGAAAUUAUCCCUUAUAUCUAGCAGAAUCACUCUUUCCCGUGUGGUGUACGGACCCAACCAACAUUUGUGACAUAUAUUAUAUACUUACAAUUUGGACUUAUUUAUAUAUAUAUAUAUAUAUAUAUAUAUAUAAUUUAUGUCUACAAUAGUUGGUUCAUACUGUAAAAGACAUGCUCGACAUUAUAAAUUAUGGUACCAAAUUAUUAAAUUGAAUUAGUAAAUUAUCAAAAAAAUAGUUAGUAAAGAUAUUUUAGUCAGAUGACCGCAGAGAUCUUUGUUCAACUUUCAAGUUUUUCCUUUUUUUACUCUCUUGAACAAAACAAAAAUCAUCAAAAAAUUUAAAACUGUAUGUAGUCUUCAAGCUAAAGAUACAAAGAUGAAAUUAAAUUUGGCUUCUCAUUUUUGCAUUGGGAUUAUAAUUCCCUCCCAGCCAAAAUACUUUUUUUUUUUUUAAAAAAAAGAAAAUUUUAAGGCCGUCCAAAUAGCAUAAAAUUUAGAACCGAUCGUCCCCGUCACAAUUCAUUCACCAGCAACUUGCGCCAGCCACCGCCGUCAUUAGUCACCGUCCCUCCAAUCACGUCAAGGGAGCAAACAAAAAUGUUACUAUAACCUAUUAUUUUCAAACUUCUUCUCCCACUUGACUCUUGAUUUUUCUUUCUCUCUAUUUUUUUUUUACUUUCGUGAUUAAAUUUCAUUAUGUAGUAAUUAUUACAGACAAUUAAAUAUUUGAGGAAUAUUGUUGCUCAAUGCAUUUACUUUAUUUGAUUGUGUAAUUCAUUAUAGGUUCUACGUAUGUGUUUGUCGAUUUUAUAGUUGUAACUUCUACUUUCUUUCUUUUUUUUUUAACUGAGAGAUUUUGAUUUCAAACAUUUCUACUUAUCGUCUCUUUCGACUCAUUAUCCGACUCAAUUCUCCAUUUGUAACAUGUUAAGGCCACUAUUGUAUAGGCUAUAUAUAACUUAUCAGUAGUUAUGAUUAAGUUCGGAACAUGAGCAUAAUAUGUCAAGUUGUAAAACAAAAAUACUUGUCAAGUUGAAUUUCGGAGAAAAGUAAGUCUAAGCUGACAUUUGUUACAUAAACCAAAAAUUUUGAUUAUACAGAAUUUAUUUCUACAGUAUCUAUAGCAAAAGAACAAGGAAAAAAACAAGUUGCAAUUGUAAUUUUAAUUAGUUAAUCCAAUUGGUUGAUCAAGUAGACAACAUUGGCUCUUAAAUUUCCCGAACAACAUGAUUUCUCCAACUAAUGCUACUUCUUGUAAUUCCUUCAGGGUGCAAGAGCAUGAGUGUUGCCUGUGUUGUUAGCUAUGCCAUCUUGAUCUAUUAGUAACAGAUAACAUGUUAUGCAGGUCAUUGAUGGUUUCUUGAUUCUUUUAAUACAUUGGUCGGACUAGGAAAAGGGAGAGGGAUUGAGAAGGUAUCAAACAGAAAAUCCCAGUAAAGCAAACAGCAAAAGUUCCUUAAAGCAACAUCAUUUAUCACAAAACAGCAGCCAUGAAAGUUCAACCUCUGUCCCCCCAAACGAGGAAAAUGAAGACAUAAUGUGGACAACAAACAAAAUUACGCAAAUAUUAUUGGCUGUGGCCAAUGCCAGUUAAAGAAUCGUGUCAACGUAUCAUUGGUAGGUUCAAUAUAUAAUUUCUUGGAUGAAAGGUGUUUGGCGAAUAAAUUAUUUCACUAUUUUACCCAUCUUUUUGUCUCAUGAUUUGAGUCAAGUUGAAAAUUUUGACAAAUUUGUAUGUGUGGUUGCACGUACAAUGACAGGUCUUUGUCUUUCUGACUCCCUACCAAGUCAUCUUGAAUAAUUUACCUUUGUUCCAUUCAACCUCAAUUGAUGCCAUUGAUCUCUUUCUUGAUUUUUUUGUUCACGUUUUGAACCUUUUCUUCGACCUAAGGUGCUUGGAUUUGUCGGUGUUUGGCGGAUAUUUUAGUGUAGCAUCAGAAAGUAUAUUAUAUGCCAGCUAUGGAUGUGCUAAUGAGGCUUACUAAUUAGAGAUUCUUCAAAUUAAAUGCAAGUGUCUCACUUCUUCUAUCAUAGCUACAAUGACAGAUCAGUCAGAUUUUAAGUGCAUACUUGAUCAUAUGCCAAAAAUGAAGGGUUAUAUACCACCCUAAUGUACUACAAUGACAGUUGGAAAGGUUUUCUGAAACAACGAUAUAAUACUUUGAAUAAAUUUUAUAUACACUGAUAAUGUAUACACUAUCACGAUUGGAUACACGAUAUAUAUGAAAAAUUUGGAUUUCAAUUCCAAUUUGAAUUAUGUGUCAUGCAUUCAAUGGUGAAAGUGUAUAUAGUAUCAGCGUGUAGAAAAUUAGUUCUACUACUUUUGUGAUGUACUAUAUGUGAAAUAAAAAAAUAAAAGGUAAAUUAAAAAACGUGUAUAUGAUGCAAUCGAAUAAUGUCUUGUAAAUCAUAUGUAAUACAGGGGAAUUGGAGUCUGAAAUGAGAACAUAAUUGAAUUUGGAACAAUGAUACCACAGCCUUGAUUGUCGGUGUUUGGUGGAUAUUUUAGUGUAGCAUCAGAAAGUAUAUUAUAUGCCAGCUAUAGAUGUGCUAAUAAGGCUUGCCAAUUAGAGAUUCUUCAGAUUAAACGCAAGUGUCACACAUCUUUUAUCAUAGCUACAAUGACAGAUUAGUCAGAUUUUAAGUGCAUACUUAGUCAUAUGCCAAAAAUGAAGGGUGACAUAUCACCUAAUGUACUACAAUGACAGUCUUAGUAUGUUUGGAAAGAGGAUUAUAAGUUUUUUGAAACAACAAUAUAAUAUUUUGAGUAAAUCUUAUAUACGCUAAUAGUGUGUACACUAUCAUGAUUGAAUACACUACAUAUAUACAAAAUUUGAGUUUCAAAUUCAAAUUCGAAUUAUAUGUCAGACAUCCAAUAAUGAAAGUGUAUACACUAUCAGUGUAUAAAAGAUUAAUUCUACUACUUUUGUGAUAGUGUAUGUGAGAUAAAAAAUAAAUUAAUUAAAAAACGUGUAUAUGAUGCAAUCAAAUAAUGUCUUGUAAAUCAUAUGUAAUACAGGGGAUUUGGAGUCUGAAAUGAUAACAUAAUUGAAUUUGGAACAAUGAUACCACAGCCCUGAUUGCGGAAUAUGUUUGCUGCCUUUCCCAGAUGCUGAGAAUAUCCCCAUACAAGAAGACGAAAGGGCCAUCUUCAGUUGCAUCCAAAUCUAAACAUGACUUUUGCAGAAAAGUGUGCGGGAACAGAUCUCAAACUACAUAUUCACCUGCAUAACAAGAUGGCGUAGGGCUUCUGCAAAAUGUUUUAUAUGUCAUAGUACAACUCAUUAUUAAUUUUUUUUAAAUCAUAAUAAGUACGUCAAAUUAUUGUAGUACAACGGUGUAUUAAGGUCAAUAAUCUCUGCUGAUUAAACAAAUAGUGAUGCAUCACCGUAAUCACAUUUAUAAUGCUAUCAUCCUGUCCACAUCCUGUCCAUAACCAUCAAACAUUUUUCCCCUAGGACAAGUCUAUUAAAUAUUGAACUGCGUUGCCGUUUUGAUAAAAAAAAAAAAAAAGUCUAUUAAAUAUUGAAUGUCCUGAGUAUUUGUACCGGUUGUUGAGCCAAUAAUUACUGCUAGAACUAGUAUAAACAGUAUAAAAGUGCACAAAAUUGAAGAAAAGAGAAAGUAUAAAUGGGGCAAUAUUACUAAUAUUUCAAUCAAUUUGCCAGAACUAGCUGAUUACAAUACAAGCAGAGACAGCAAUAUCAUGAGAAAAGCCCACCAGUUGCAACAAAACCUUAACAAAGAAACCAUCAAUUUUUGUUUUCUUUUUCCUUCAUAGUCAGCCCCACCCAAAAAAAAAGGGAAGAGAAAGAAGAAACAGAGAGUUGUUCUGUUUUUCUU
rnacentral:lncRNA from 1 species